GACGAACGCUGGCGGCGUGCUUAACACAUGCAAGUCGAACGGAAAGGCCCUGCUUUUGUGGGGUGCUCGAGUGGCGAACGGGUGAGUAACACGUGAGUAACCUGCCCUUGACUUUGGGAUAACUUCAGGAAACUGGGGCUAAUACCGGAUAGGAGCUCCUGCUGCAUGGUGGGGGUUGGAAAGUUUCGGCGGUUGGGGAUGGACUCGCGGCUUAUCAGCUUGUUGGUGGGGUAGUGGCUUACCAAGGCUUUGACGGGUAGCCGGCCUGAGAGGGUGACCGGCCACCUUGGGACUGAGGUACGGCCCAGACUCCUACGGGAGGCAGCAGUGGGGAAUAUUGCACAAUGGGCGGAAGCCUGAUGCAGCAGCGCCGCGUGCGGGAUGACGGCCUUCGGGUUGUAAACCGCUUUCGCCUGUGACGAAGCGUGAGUGACGGUAAUGGGUAAAGAAGCACCGGCUAACUACGUG
rnacentral:rRNA from 1 species